rnacentral:lncRNA from 1 species
ACACUUGCCACUGGUGAAAAGACUUGCUCCUUAGGGCAAGGAAACCGAACCUUCCAUUCUGUUCCAAGCUGGCCCUCGAAGCCCAUCCAGCUCUUCUGGGCAACAGCAUGCCUGACACUCAUUCCAUCCAUCGCAGCUUCCGAGGAGACUCCAGCCAGACUCCCAGUUCCCCCUCGCUCCCCGAGAGUCACUGUGUUUGUUCUCUGCUUUCUGCUGGCAUGCUCAGGCCUCCCUCAGGCUCUGGGCCUACUCUCUCCUAAUUUUUCCCACUUUGAGAACACAUCAGGCAAUCUUUUGGACUGCAGCCUCUAUUCUUUGCUUUAUGUGUGUGGAUGCCUUGCCUGUGUUGUGUCUGGUACCACGGGCAUAUCCAGUGCCACAGAGGUCAGAGGAAAACAUUGGAUCCCCUGGAACAGUUGUCAGCUGCCCUAUGGGUGCUGAGAACCAAACCCAGGUCCUCUGGGAGAGCAGCC